rnacentral:misc_RNA from 1 species
UCAUAUGUAAAUGUGCUGUCAUUGGCUGCUCGUCGUUGAAGAUAAUUCAAAGUUUCUUCAAGGGCUCCAGGAAGCCUGUGCUCUUCAUUGUAUGCAGGUAUGACCAAGGAUAUGUACUUCUCAGCAGGAUCAAAUAUAUGAGGACAAGGAACCGGCUUAAAUGAAGUCGGAUCUUCAAAAACAGGAGGAGCUUCCACAUGCGUAUGAUUGAAUCUUCUUCUGAAUGUUUCGAAUACAAUUGCAGCAGCUAAUCCAAAUGCAAGAACAAUAGCUGAGAUCAGUAGUAACUCCAAAAUCGCCCAAAUUGAUUCCAUUUUUGUAGGGUUAAAUCGAACAAAUUGAGUGA